AAUAAACGCUGGCGGCGUGCCUAACACAUGCAAGUCGAGCGAGAAAGUUCCUUCGGGAGCAAGUAAAGCGGCGGACGGGUGAGUAACGCGUGAGAAUUUACCCUUUAGUGAGGAAUACCUCUGAGAAAUCAGGGCUAAUACUGCAUAAGUCCCUACGGGGAGAAAGGUGGCCUAUUUGCUGCCGCUAAAGGAUAAGCUUGCGGGCUAUUAGCUAGUUGGUGAGGUAAAGGCUCACCAAGGCGAUGAUGGCUAGCCGGCCUGAGAGGGUGUACGGCCACACUGGAACUUAGACACGGUCCAGACUCCUACGGGAGGCAGCAGUGAGGAAUAUUGCGCAAUGGGCGAAAGCCUGACGCAGCGACGCCGCGUGGAGGAUGAAGGUCUUCGGAUUGUAAACUUCUGUUAAGUGGGAAGGAAGAUUUAUCCCUAAUAUGGAUAAAGGAUGACGGUACCAUUAGAGAAAGCACCGGCUAACUUCGUGCCAGCAGCCGCGGUAA
rnacentral:rRNA from 1 species